ACAACUUUUAAAAUUUCUUUUUUAUAGACGAUAUAAAAUUAUCAUCUAAUAUAUUUUGUAAAUUUCUACCAUCAAAAAAAAAAAGAAAAGAAAAAUAUUCCAAUGAGAAAAUAUUUUCCUGCUUAGUCAUUAUUCAGAAAAGGUUACAGGAAAUUUUGAUUGGGGAGGGCCCCUUAGCCCCCUCCAUCCUGCCUCUGAAUUUAUUUUAUAUAUUAUACUAUAUUUUAUUGCGCUAGAUACCGUAUCGUAUUAUAUAUUUGAUGAAGUAAUAGUCACGUAAAAUAUUGGCGGCUCCGGAAUUGAGUCAUUAGUUGGUACAUCGGUGUAAUAUAAAUGAUCAUGGGUGAUUACAGCGCUCUGUGGCGAAUGUGUCAGCAAAAAACAUGAGGAGCCCGUGCGGUGACGUUGAGUAGGCGUUGAGCGAUUUAUGCGGUAUGGAACCAAAAUUUUGAGACCCACUGGUUUGUGAUUAUUUUGCACCUAACAAUAAUCGGCGCCAUUCCACUGCUGACGUGUCACUUUUUUUUGUGUUGACCAUUUAAAAUGCUCCUUUCUGAUUGGCGAGUUUAUGUUUUCAACCAUCUUAUACCAGGAAUUAUAUACUAUUUACCAUAGUAUACCAAAUAUUUCAACUAUAUCGACGUGUGGUACCUAUGGUUAUCCAUAUCACUACGAAUUUUUAAUAUUUUAUUUAAAUAAAAUUAUCAUUAUUAAUUUUUUUUUUUGACAUUUCAAUCUCUGUUGAGAAAAUUUUUAGCUGUGACUUGCAAAUAUAAUAAUGACUUUUACUGCACAAUAUGUAUGUACCUAAUUAUGUAUUUAAUAUUAAUUACUGUAGUAGGUAUAAUAUUAUUAAAGAUCAUAAUGCUCAAAAAUUCCCAACAAGCAUUUCAGCUCAACCACCCAUGUGAACAGAUCAACACAGAAACAAAAAACUUGUAAUUAUACACUAUGUUGAAAGCCACUAUGGGAUCAUAAAUCAUUGAAACCUGUAGAGAGCACAGAAGUAGUAAGAAACAAAUUAUGGAAGGAAAUUUGUGAAGAGCUACAAAGUUAGUAAAUUAAUUAGAAAACAAAAUUUUUAUUUAUGAUUUAAUUCCCCUUUAUGAUGUUGAUACAAUACAGUAAAUGGAAAUAUAUGAGGGAUGAAUUUGUCAAGAAAGGGGAGUAAAAGUGGAUCUGUUACAAUAAAGGAAUGGUUUUAUAUGUGACAUCUUACGGUUUUAGAUGAUAUAAUUUCAUAUAAACCGUAAGUUAAAAAAUAUUUUAAUAUUUAUUGUUUUAUGAAAAAAAAAUCUAAAGAUUAUUUAUAAUAUGUUUAUAAAAUCUUUUAUAGGACUAUAUUUAAUUUAGCUCUGGCAACUCCUAUUGUAUCAACAAACAAAAUUAAGAACAAUGCAAGUGGAAGUGGAAAUGGUUAUAAAAACAUAAAUUAAAUUCUAAGCCUAAAAGUGAAUAUUCAUUUUAGAAAGGUUUAUAUGUGUAAUUAAAAAAUGUUUUUAGAUAAAUCAAAUAAUUUGAGACUCCCCCUCCAGACAUUACUACUGUUGAUGAUAAAUUUGGUAUUUACCUAGUCAGCAUUAUGAAUGAUUUAUCAAACAAAUAAAAAGGAAACUAAGGUGAAUUUAUAGCAAGAGUGUUGAGUGAAGUUGCCAGUUAGUAAUGAUGAGAAUUUUACGAGUUUAAUUAUAAAAUGAAAAAAAUUUGUUAUUAGUUUUAUAAGAACAAAAUAAUUUUAUAUGUACUAUAGUAUGUUACCAAUAUUAAUUUUGAAAUAAAUCUAGUUUAUGAAACAA